rnacentral:rRNA from 1 species
AUUGAACGCUGGCGGCAUGCUUUACACAUGCAAGUCGAACGGCAGCGCGGGCUUCGGCCUGGCGGCGAGUGGCGAACGGGUGAGUAAUACAUCGGAACGUGCCCAGUAGUGGGGGAUAGCUCGGCGAAAGCCGGACUAAUACCGCAUACGACCUGAGGGUGAAAGCGGGGGAUCUUCGGACCUCGCGCUAUUGGAGCGGCCGAUGGCAGAUUAGCUAGUUGGUGGGGUAAAGGCCUACCAAGGCGACGAUCUGUAGCUGGUCUGAGAGGACGACCAGCCACACUGGGACUGAGACACGGCCCAGACUCCUACGGGAGGCAGCAGUGGGGAAUUUUGGGCAAUGGGCGAAAGCCUGAUCCAGCAAUGCCGCGUGUGUGAUGAAGGCCUUCGGGUUGUAAAGCACUUUUGGCGGGAACGAAAAGGACUGUGCCAAUACCACGGUUCGAUGACGGUACCCGCAGAAUAAGCACCGGCUAACUACGUG